AUACGGAGGAUCCAAGCGUUAUCCGGAAUCAUUGGGUUUAAAGGGUCCGUAGGCGGGUUUGUAAGUCAGUGGUGAAAGUUUUCGGCUCAACCGGAAAAUCGCCAUUGAUACUGCAAGUCUUGAAUCAUUAUGAAGUGGUUAGAAUGUGUAGUGUAGCGGUGAAAUGCAUAGAUAUUACACAGAAUACCGAUUGCGAAGGCAGAUCACUAAUAAUGUAUUGACGCUAAGGGACGAAAGCGUGGGUAGCGAACAGGAUUAGAAACCCUAGUAGUCC
rnacentral:rRNA from 1 species